rnacentral:rRNA from 1 species
UACGGAGGAUCCAAGCGUUAUCCGGAUUCACUGGGUUUAAAGGGUGCGUAGGUGGAAUGACAAGUCAGUGGUGAAAACCUGCAGCUUAACUGUAGAACUGCCAUUGAUACUGUUAUUCUUGAGUACAUUUGAUGUGAGUGGAAUGUGUCGUGUAGCGGUGAAAUGCUUAGAUAUGACACAGAACGCCAAUUGCGAAGGCAGCUCACAAAACUGUAACUGACACUGAGGCACGAAAGCGUGGGGAUCAAACAGG